GAGUUAUUUGUUAAACACAUAUACACAGUCGCAAUUAGCAGGAUCGGGGACCAAGAGUUCUCAUACUCUGUAGCAAACUUGUUAACCAACCAAUCUCCUUUCUCUCUUAAUUAUCAGGUUCCCCGCUAAGAAGAAAAGGAGCCCUGAAAGCCACCUUUGGUUACUGGCCUGAAAUGCCCUGAGGAACAUAAGCAACGUCAUGGAAUUUUUACAUCAGAUGAGGUCUCUAAUGAGAUGGAAGGUGAAGAAAAUAAGACUGAUUGUGUCUAAACAGAUAUACAGACACUGCAGCCACAAAAAGUUGACCAAACAUUCCUGCCCUAGCAAAGUGAUGAAGGGCAGCAUCUAAGUUUAUCUCCUUCCUGCUGUAUCCUGAGGAGCUGGAUGGUCCCCUGCCUGAAGGAAGAACCAAAGUAGUGUUGAAUUAAUAGAUAAAUGAAGCUAACUACUUUUUACAGUAAAGUGCUUUAAAAUGAAUAUGUAAUUGCAUUUAUUAAUCCUUGGGAAG
ensembl:lncRNA